UACGUAGGCAGCGAGCGUUGUUCGGAAUUACUGGGCGUAAAGAGUGUGUAGGCGGUGCUCCCAGUCUGUUGUGAAAUCUCCCGGCUUAACUGGGAGGGUGCAGCGGAAACUAGAGUGCUAGAGGGUGGGAGAGGCGAGUGGAAUUCCUGGUGUAGCGGUGAAAUGCGCAGAUAUCAGGAGGAACACCAAUGGCGAAGGCAGCUCGCUGGGACGGUACUGACGCUGAGACGCGAAAGCGUGGGAGCAAACAGG
rnacentral:rRNA from 1 species